rnacentral:lncRNA from 1 species
CUUCUACACAUGCGCAGGGUUGGGCGGGUCUUCUUCCUUCUCGCCUAACGCCGCCAACAUGGUGUUCAGGCGCUUCGUGGAGGUUGGCCGGGUGGCCUAUGUCUCCUUUGGACCUCAUGCCGGAAAAUUGGUCGCGAUUGUAGAUGUUAUUGAUCAGAACAGGGUAAGUGUCACAACUUUUUACUAAACAUGGCAGUGGACAUGUGCCCUGCAGAUGGCAAUAAUGAAUUGUCUCGAUGGCUGUGUAAGAUGAGGAUGCUAUGGGUAGUCGCUUUAUUUUACCAUUGAGGAAACAGGUAAUGGUACGGGUUUUAAGCACAGCCUGAAGUUAGCUAUUAGUAUUGAAUUUCAGUAUUAGCCACUUAAGCUAGAGCCAGUUAUAGGCUGAAACGUUGGUUAGUUUUAAAUGAGUUACUAUACGUAAAGUGAGUUUAGAACAGAUCCAGCACGUAGAAAGCACUUUUGUAUUUACUGCUGUGUAUUUGAAACAAGCAAACUAAGGAGUUGACCACUGACUAUAAAUCAGCAGGGAUCAGAGUCCUAAAGUUGCCUGUAAAUUACAUGUGGUUGGUUUCUAUGGGGUACUAUAUAGUUUAAGAAGGAGCAUUUAAUGAUGUGGAGAAAUGUUUGUGUUGAGCAAAAGACAUACAUAUAUAUAACCCAGAUAGGACAAUCCUUGUCUUUUCUGAGCAAUUUAUUAAAAUAGUAGUGUGGGUUUGAUGGCCCUGAACGGAUAAGUAAUGUUACAGAACCAUCUGACCAUUUUAAUUGCUGUUAGAUUUUGCACU